rnacentral:lncRNA from 1 species
UCGCGAGCCAUUGGAAAUUGAAAUCUUUGUUUAAAAAUCACUGCUUGAUUGAGGGACCAUACAGAUAGUUGUAUGUGUGGGGUACAGAGAUGAGAUAAUUCAGAAAUCAUGUUAACCCCCUAGAGUUGAUGUCUGUAGCUUCUGAACAGUUUGGCCUACAAAACUAAUAUGAUCACUCUAUGGAAAGAUGAGACUCUCACAAGACACUAUGUUGCCUAAAAGCCUGGUAUGAAGGUAGCCUGGUAUGGAGGUAGCCUGGUAGGGAGGUAGCCUGGUAUAAAGGUAUUCUUGGAUGUAGGUAGCCUGUUAGGAAGGUAGUCUGUUAGGAAGGUAGCCUGUUAGGAAGGUAGCCUGGUAGGAAGGUAGCCCGGUAGGGAGGUAGCCUGGUAGGGAGGUAGCCUGGUAGGGAGGUAUUCUUGUAUGAAGGUAGCCUGGUAGGAAGGUAUACUUAUAUGAAGGUAGCCUGGUAGGGAGGUAGCCUGGUAGGGAGGUAGCCUGGUAGGAAGGUAGCCUGGUAGGAAGGUAUACUUAUAUGAAGGUAGCCUGGUAGGAAGGUAUACUUAUAUGAAGGUAGCCUGGUAGGGAGGUAUUCUUGUAUGAAGGUAGCCUGGUAGGGAGGUAGCCUGGUAGGGAGGUAUUCUUGUAUGAAGGUAGCCUGGUAGGGAGGUAGCCUGGUAUGAAGGUAUACUUAUAUGAAGGUAGCAUGGUAGGGAGGUAGCCUGGUAUGAAGGUAGCCUGGUAUGAAGGUAGCCUGGUAGGGAGGUAGCCUGGUAUGAAGGUAUACUUAUAUGAAGGUAGCCUGGUAGGAAGUUAGCCUGGUAUGAAGGUAGCCUGGUACCAGUUAUGGAAGUAUAUAUGGAAGUUGUUAAAUAUGAGUCACAUUUUUUUUAUUUUGAUCUGUCUUAUAUCUCUCAGUUAUAGGACAGACUUUUAAACAAACGUCCUUUAGAUUUUUUUGGGGGGGGAACUAUUUUGUGAAUUUAUUAUUCAAUGCGUUUCUAUGGGCUAAUAGCAAUACUGUAACUCUUAAGGAUUAAAACACCAUUAUUGCACACAAUGCAACUCUUUGUGACUUGCUAAGCACCUGUUUACUCCUGAAUUUAUUUAGACUUGGCAAUAACAAAGGGGUUGAAUACUUCUUGACUCAAGGCAUGUCAGAUUUU